rnacentral:rRNA from 1 species
AUACGUAGGUGACAAGCGUUAUCCGGAUUUACUGGGCGUAAAGGGCGUGUAGGCGGUCUUGCAAGUCAGAAGUGAAAUUCCUGAGCUCAACUCGGGCGCUGCUUCUGAAACUGCAGGACUUGAGUGCUGGAGGGGAUAGCGGAAUUCCUAGUGGAGCGGUAAAAUGCGCAGAUAUUAGGAAGAACACCGGUGGCGAAGGCGGCUAUCUGGACAGUAGCUGACGCUGAGGCGCGAAAGCGUGGGGAGCAAACAGGAUUAGAUACCCUGGUAGUCUACGCCGUAAACGAUGAAUACUAGAUGUAGGGGGUAUCGACUCCCUCUGUGCCGCAGUUAACACAAUAAGUAUUCCGCCUGGGGAGUACGGCCGCAAGGUUGAAACUCAAAUGAAUUGACGGGG